AAAGGUACUCAAGGGCGCUAAAUGGAUGCCUAGGCGUGUAUUACCGACGAAGGACGUGGAAGACUGCGAUAAGCUUCGGGAAGCUGUCAACAAGCUUUGAUCCGGAGAUCUCCGAAUGGGGAAACCCAGCAUGAGUCAUGUCAUGUUGCCACUUGCUGAACACAUAGGCAAGCGAGCGGGAACCAUCUGAACUGAAACAUCUUAGUAGGAUGAGGAAGAGAAAGUAAAUAACGAUUGCGAAAGUAGUGGCGAGCGAAAUCGCAACAGCCCAAACCUUUUAAGUUUUUGCCUAUUAAUUUAGGCAAAUAAGUUGAUAGACGAAUACUUAUAAGGGGUUGUGAUAUUACAUAUGACCAAGUCAGAGAAUUUGAUUCAUUCAAAUAAUCUGAUUUGCGAUAACUGGCUAUCAACAGUUAAUAAGGUAAGAAAUCGGCGUGGUUAGUAGAAUAGUUUGAAUGACUAGCCAAAGAACGUGAAAGCCGUGUAUAUGAAAACGACGCUGACCUUAUGUAUGUUUUAUCGAGUAGGACGGGGCACGAGAAACCCUGUUUGAAUCUGGCUGGACCACCAGCCAAGGCUAAAUAUAAUAUACGAUCGAUAGUGAACUAGUACAGUGAUGGAAAGGUGAAAAGAACCCCGGGAGGGGAGUGAAAUAGAUCCUGAAAUUUAGUGCCUACAAGGAGUCGGAGCCGGCUUGUCCGGUGACGGCGUGCUUUUUGUAGAACGAUCCAGCGAGUUAAUUUUUACAGCGAGGUUAAGUCAAUUGACGGAGCCACAGUGAAAGCGAGCCUGAAUAGGGCGAUUAAGUUGUAAGGAUUAGACCCGAAACCGGGUGACCUAACCAUGAGCAGGUUGAAGCCACUGUAACAGGUGGUGGAGGACCGAACCAGGAUACGCAGCAAAGUGUUUGGAUGACUUGUGGUUAGCGGUGAAAUGCCAAUCGAACUCGGAGAUAGCUGGUUCUCCUCGAAAUAGCUUUAGGGCUAGC
rnacentral:rRNA from 1 species